GAAGAAGUGAUUCUAAAAUAAUGCUAUGUAACUUUUUCCUUUAGUUUUCAGAGUUAAGUGGAGUUCCUGUUGAUGCCAUUUCUGUUGCAACAUAUUUGAGAUCAUUUCCAGCUGAGAUAUCACGUCUUGAUAUUAAGAAUGAGUUGGAAUGGAAUCAAGCAUCACUGUAUGAUGCUGAUGGAGAUGUCAUAUAUUACAAAGACAAUAGAGAACAAUUGAAGGAGAUCACAACCGAAGAGAGAGAGGAAUUUAAAAUGACAGAAAGCAAAAGGUUAUAGUGUUGCUGUUUAUGGUAUUGGGUCAUUGUAUGAUGUUCCAGGAGACAAAGAGAAUGUACAUUUAGUGGCAAAGUGUGUAUAUGUGGCUUGUAGGCUGUCUCCCCUCUUCAGCUAUUGGUGACAUUAUUUUUAGAUCCAAUUGUGGUUGCAUUGUCUUUUUGAGCUUUGCAUG